UGCGUAGGCGGCCUAUUAAGUCAGUGGUGAAAGGUAUCAGCUUAACUGAUGACGUGCCAUUGAAACUGAUAGGCUUGAGUACAGACGAGGUAGGCGGAAUUUAUGGUGUAGCGGUGAAAUGCAUAGAUACCAUAAAGAACACCAAUUGCGAAGGCAGCUUACUAGACUGAGACUGACGCUGAGGCACGAAAGCGUGGGGAGCGAACAGGAUUAGAUACUCUGGUAGUCC
rnacentral:rRNA from 1 species